UCCUCUCUCUUCAUCCAGUUCUGUCUCUAGACUCCCCCUCUCCUCUCUCCUCUCCCUUCAUCCAGUUCUGUCUCUAGACUUCCUCUCUCCGACCCUGAGGCAGCCUGCCAGGCAGUCAGUCAUGUGUUGCCAGAGCGCUGAGCCCAGAAGGAACAAUGUGCCAUAAGGGGCUGAGGGGCAGUUGAGCCAUGUCGAGGCAGGGUGUGUUGGGGCUGAGGUCAGUUGAGCCAUGUCGAGGCAGGGUGUGUUGGGGCUGAGGUCAGUUGAGCCAUGUCGAGGCAGGGUGUGUUGGGGCUGAGGUCAGUUGAGCCAUGUCGAGGCAGGGUGUGUUGGGGCUGAGGUCAGUUGAGCCAUGUCGAGGCAGGGUGUGUUGGGGCUGAGGUCAGUUGAGCCAUGUCGAGGCAGGGUGUGUUGGGGCUGAGGUCAGUUGAGCCAUGUCGAGGCAGGGUGUGUUGGGGCUGAGGUCAGUUGAGCCAUGUCGAGGCAGGGUGUGCAGCACG